rnacentral:rRNA from 1 species
AUUGAACGCUGGCGGCAGGCCUAACACAUGCAAGUCGAACGCGUGGCGGACGGGUGAGUAAUGUCUGGGACUCUGCCUGGUGGAGGGGUAACAACACUGGACAGGGUAGCUAAUACCGCAUACCAUCGGAUGUGCCCAGAUGGGAUUAGCUUGUAGGUGGGGUAAAGGCUCACCUAGGCGACGAUCCCUAGCUGGUCUGAGAGGAUGACCAGCCACACUGGAACUGAGACACGGUCCAGACUCCUACGGGAGGCAGCAGUGGGGAAUAUUGCACAAUGGGCGCAAGCCUGAUGCAGCCAUGCCGCGUGUAUGAAGAAGGCCUUCGGGUUGUAAAGUACUUUCAGCGGGGAGGCGUUACCCGCAGAAGAAGCACCGGCUAACUCCGUGCCAGCAGCCGCGGUAAUAC